rnacentral:lncRNA from 1 species
GCUUAGCAUCUAGAAUGGUAGUUCCAGAGAGAGAUCUUGACAUUACUUUGGUUGACAGUGGGAGACAAUACACACACACGCAAGAUUAUUAUUGAAAGUUGAUAGAUAAGAAUUGUGCCAAUCUUUGAAUUUUGACCCAAGGUUUGAAGCUUGAAACCUGGAAUAUGUUGACUGCUUGUGAUUUGUUUUUAAGUUUUUUUUCAUUUGAGUUUUGCUCGUAGUGCAAAAGUUCAAGUGUGGGGGAAUUUGAUCAGUGCAUUUUAAUGCACAUUCUUCUACUAUUGUACUCAAGUAUUCCUAUGGUUUAUUUCAUUAUUUUCACCAUUUUAAUGUNNNNNNNNNNNNNNNNNNNNNNNNNNNNNNNNNNCUAGCUUUAUUUUAUUUUCGUCACUUAUUUUCUGAAUUAAUAAUAACUUGACACCUUCGCAGUCUGUAGGUCAUAACUGGAGCUACGUAUACCGGAUUGAGGCGCGGGAAGAUGAGUUGGAAAGCUGAGAAAGAGAGCUACAACUUUUGUGUUGAAGCCUCAAGUCAAUUCGGAGCGCAAAUGAGUCGAAUAAUUACGUUUAUGUUCCAGACGAAUUAAAUUAUUAACUUUCAGCACAACUUUAUGUUUUCGGCCCAAUUGUUUUAAGGCCCGUUUCCAUGUAUUAUUUAAACCGGAAAAAAAGACAGCUAGGGCAUAUUUAUUCAUUCUGAUUUCACGAGAAACCAAUCCCCAGAGCAGCCACUACCUUCAUGGAGAACUAAAC